rnacentral:rRNA from 1 species
GAUGAACGCUGGCGGCGUGCCUAAUGCAUGCAAGUCGAGCGAACGGACGAGAAGCUUGCUUCUCUGAUGUUAGCGGCGGACAGGGGAGUAACACGUGGAUAACCUACCUAUAAGACUGGGAUAACUUCGGGAAACCGGAGCGAAUACCGGAUAAUAUUUUGAAUCGCAUGGUUCAAAAGUGAAAGACGGUCUUGCUGUCACUUAUAGAUGGAUCCGCGCUGCAUUAGCUAGUUGGUAAGGUAACGGCUUACCAAGGCAACGAUGCAUAGCCGACCUGAGAGGGGGAUCGGCCACACUGGAACUGAGACACGGUCCAGACUCCUACGGGAGGCAGCAGUAGGGAAUCUUCCGCAAUGGGCGAAGGCCUGCCGGAGCAACGCCGCGUGAGUGAUGAUGGUCUUCGGAUCGUAAAACUCUGUUAUUAGGGAGGAACAUAUGUGUAAGUAACUGUGCACAUCUUGACGGUACCUACUCAGAAAGCCACGGCUAACUACGUG